rnacentral:tRNA from 1 species
GGGGCUGUAGCUCAGUUGGGAGAGCGCGGGCUUUGCAAGCCUGAGGUCGUCGGUUCGAAUCCGAUCAGCUCCA